AGAGGAAGGAAGGGGAAAAAAAAUUUGGAGAACUGAACAUUUGCAGCGUGAUCAUUCAAGCCUGCCAAAAGAUCCACCCAAAAGUGCCAGCUAAGGUGUUAGAGGACUGCAUUGCAGACACUUUAAAAUAUGCUCCCCAUCGUGAGUCAAGGAUGGAGCAUGAACAGCAGACGGACUAGUUUUCAGCACCCACACAGACAUCCACAUUUAUUUAAGUUCUUACUGAUUGUAUGUUUUAAUUAAAGUACUUACAUUUCCUGUCAAUUUAUAAUUAUUUUUCAUUAGUGUUAACCUACAUUUUAAACUUUGUUACAUUUUAUAUAAUUUUAUCUGUUAAUGAGUUAAGUUGUACAUGUUGUUAUGUUGUACCGGAAUGUUAUUAUUUAAUA